rnacentral:rRNA from 1 species
UACGUAGGGGGCUAGCGUUGUCCGGAAUCAUUGGGCGUAAAGCGCGUGUAGGCGGCCCGGUAAGUCCGCUCUGAAAGUCGGGGGCUCAACCCUCGGAUGCGGGUGGAUACUGUCGGGCUUGAGUGCGGAAGAGGCGAGUGGAAUUCCUGGUGUAGCGGUGAAAUGCGCAGAUAACAGGAGGAACACCAAUUGCGAAGGCAGCUCGCUGGGACGUUACUGACGCUGAGACGCGAAAGCGUGGGGAGCGAAUGGG